GGUGUGACUGCGUACCUUUUGUAUAAUGGGUCAGCGACUUAUAUUCUGUAGCAAGGUUAACCGUAUAGGGGAGCCGCAGGGAAACCGAGUCUUAACUGGGCGUUAAGUUGCAGGGUAUAGACCCGAAACCCGGUGAUCUAGCCAUGGGCAGGUUGAAGGUUGGGUAACACUAACUGGAGGACCGAACCGACUAAUGUUGAAAAAUUAGCGGAUGACUUGUGGCUGGGGGUGAAAGGCCAAUCAAACCGGGAGAUAGCUGGUUCUCCCCGAAAGCUAUUUAGGUAGCGCCUCGUGAACUCAUCUUCGGGGGUAGAGCACUGUUUCGGCUAGGGGGUCAUCCCGACUUACCAACCCGAUGCAAACUACGAAUACCGAAGAAUGUUAUCACGGGAGACACACGGCGGGUGCUAACGUCCGUCGUGAAGAGGGAAACAACCCAGACCGCCAGCUAAGGUCCCAAAGUCAUGGUUAAGUGGGAAACGAUGUGGGAAGGCACAGACAGCCAGGAUGUUGGCUUAGAAGCAGCCAUCAUUUAAAGAAAGCGUAAUAGCUCACUGGUCGAGUCGGCCUGCGCGGAAGAUGUAACGGGGCUAAACCAUGCACCGAAGCUGCGGCAGCGACACUAUGUGUUGUUGGGUAGGGGAGCGUUCUGUAAGCCUGCGAAGGUGACCUGUGAGGGUUGCUGGAGGUAUCAGAAGUGCGAAUGCUGACAUAAGUAACGAUAAAGCGGGUGAAAAGCCCGCUCGCCGGAAGACCAAGGGUUCCUGUCCAACGUUAAUCGGGGCAGGGUGAGUCGACCCCUAAGGCGAGGCCGAAAGGCGUAGUCGAUGGGAAACAGGUUAAUAUUCCUGUACUUGGUGUUACUGCGAAGGGGGGACGGAGAAGGCUAUGUUAGCCGGGCGACGGUUGUCCCGGUUUAAGCAUGUAGGCUGGUUAUCCAGGCAAAUCCGGAUAAUCAAGGCUGAGGUGUGAUGACGAGGCACUACGGUGCUGAAGUAACAAAUGCCCUGCUUCCAGGAAAAGCCUCUAAGCAUCAGGUAACAUCAAAUCGUACCCCAAACCGACACAGGUGGUCAGGUAGAGAAUACCAAGGCGCUUGAGAGAACUCGGGUGAAGGAACUA
rnacentral:rRNA from 1 species